UCGAGAAUCUUCCGCAAUGGGCGAAAGCCUGACGGAGCGACACCGCGUGCAGGACGAAGGCCCUCGGGUUGUAAACUGCUGUCACGCUCUAGGAAUGCCAUGUCGUUAAUAGCGGCAUGGUUGACCAAGGCGAAAGGAAGUGGCGGCUAACUCUGUGCCAGCAGCCGCGGUAAGACAGAGGCCACGAACGUUGUUCGGAAUCACUGGGCAUAAAGCGCACGUAGGCGGCUAGGUCCGUCCAAUGUGAAAGCCCCCGGCUCAACCGGGGAAUUGCAUCGGAUACAGCCUGGCUUGAGGACGGUUGGGGUGAGUGGAACUCCUGGUGGAGCGGUGAAAUGCGUAGAUAUCAGGAGGAACACCGGUGGCGAAAGCGGCUCACUGGACCGUAACUGACGCUGAGGUGCGAAAGCUAGGGGAGCAAACGGGAUUAGAUACCCCGGUAGUCCCUGAGCGGGCUGGCAAGGCGCAU
rnacentral:rRNA from 1 species